AAAGGGCUGGGUCUGGGGCAGCGCGGUCCAGGCCGAGGUUGCGGCGCCCACAGAUCGGCGUCCAGGCGGGAGGCCGAGACCCGAGGGAGCUACCCCAAGGCAAGUGCCAACUGUGUCUUUGAGAGGCCACUGCAGAAAAUACCAGUAAGGACUAAGAACCCCAAAGAAUUGAAAACAGGUGUGGUGUUGCAGUCCCAGCUACUCAGGAAGCCUAAGC